GUUUGCAUAAAAACCGGAAAAAAUACAAAUGCCCAAAAAUCUGCAAAUAGCAAAAGGCACAACUUUGGGAUCUGUAUCCCAUAUCUGCUAAGUUUUGUUGAAAGAUAUUGAGCGAUAUUUGAGUUAUGUUCCGGAAAUGAAAUCCAUCCCUUUCUGAGACUAAGUCCAAAUUGUUUCCAUGGAAACCG